rnacentral:tRNA from 1 species
UGGCCGAGUGGUUAAGGCGAUGGACUCGAAAUCCAUUGGGGUCUCCCCGCGCAGGUCCAAGUCCUGC